rnacentral:rRNA from 1 species
CCUACGGGAGGCAGCAGUGGGGAAUCUUGCGCAAUGGGCGAAAGCCUGACGCAGCAACGCCGCGUGCGGGAUGAAGGCCUUCGGGUUGUAAACCGCUUUUAACAGGAACGAAAAUGACGGUACCUGUAGAAUAAGGUGCGGCCAACUACGUGCCAGCAGCCGCGGUGACACGUAGGCACCAAGCGUUGUCCGGAUUUAUUGGGCGUAAAGAGCUCGUAGGCGGUUCGAUAAGUCGGGUGUGAAAACUCUGGGCUUAACCCAGAGACGCCACUCGAUACUAUUGUGACUAGAGUUCGGUAGGGGAGCGGGGAAUUCCUAGUGUAGCGGUGAAAUGCGCAGAUAUUAGGAGGAACACCGGUGGCGAAGGCGCCGCUCUGGGCCGAAACUGACGCUGAGGAGCGAAAGCGUGGGUAGCAAACAGGAUUAGAUACCCUGGUAGUCCACGCCGUAAACGGUGGGCACUAGGUGUGGGCUCCAACCAACGGAGUCCGCGCCGUCGCUAACGCAUUAAGUGCCCCGCCUGGGGAGUCGGCCGCAAGGUUAAACUUAAGGAAUUGACGGCUGNGANGCACGCGACACGAGGAGAG